rnacentral:tRNA from 1 species
GGCGUGGUCGCACAGUUAGGCAGUGCGGGAAGCCGAUACCUUCCUUACCAUCGAGGUUUCGCGGGUUCAAAUCCCGUCCACGCCG